AUUGAACGCUGGCGGCAUGCCUUACACAUGCAAGUCGAACGGUAACGGGCCUUCGGGUGCCGCCGAGUGGCGAACGGGUGAGUAAUACAUCGGAACGUGCCCGAUCGUGGGGGAUAACGAGGCGAAAGCUUUGCUAAUACCGCAUACGAUCUACGGAUGAAAGCAGGGGACCGCAAGGCCUUGCGCGGGCGGAGCGGCCGAUGGCAGAUUAGGUAGUUGGUGGGAUAAAAGCUUACCAAGCCGACGAUCUGUAGCUGGUCUGAGAGGAUGAUCAGCCACACUGGGACUGAGACACGGCCCAGACUCCUGCGGGAGGCAGCAGUGGGGAAUUUUGGACAAUGGGCGCAAGCCUGAUCCAGCCAUGCCGCGUGCAGGAUGAAGGCCUUCGGGUUGUAAACUGCUUUUGUACGGAACGAAAAGCCUUCUUUUAAUACAGGAGGGUCAUGACGGUACCGUAAGAAUAAGCACCGGCUAACUACGUG
rnacentral:rRNA from 1 species